AUUAUUUUUCCAUUAAUUGUGUGUGUGUACAGUAUAAGGAGAGGGAGGAGGUUGUGAUUGAGCACAGAGCAAUGAAGGAGAGACAAAGAAUCAAAGAAGAACAAGAGAAGAAAGAAAAUACGACAGCAACCAAAAUACAGGCCUGGUGGAGAGGUAUGAUGGUUAGGAAAAGACUGGGUCCAUUUAAGAAAGGAGGCAAGAAAGGAAAGUCAAAGAAAAAA